GCAGACGGAUCCUUACAGGAGAUUCAAGGGCCCGCCAUACAGACGUGCAAUAAGUGUGUCUGGGGCGGCUCGCAUCCACUAUACAUCCAUAAACCCGUGUGCACUGUUCUAAGGAGUAAGAAAGAAGAAGAAGGGGGAGGGAGAGAGAGUGCAUGUGCUUUUCAUAUAACUAUCCCACUUUUCAGUAUCUCUCUCUCUCUGUGUCGGGGUAAUUACAACACCUCGCCGAUCAGUUUGAACGUGAGAUAGUUCGUGGGUCCGUCACUGAACAACAAAAAUAACACAACUUUCGACAACGGAUCUCUUGGUUCUCCCA
rnacentral:misc_RNA from 1 species